GGGGAAUAUUGGACAAUGGGCGCAAGCCUGAUCCAGCAAUGCCGCGUGUGUGAAGAAGGCCUUCGGGUUGUAAAGCACUUUUAUCGGGAACGAAAUACCACGGGUUAAUAACCUAUGGGGCUGACGGUACCCGAGGAAUAAGCACCGGCUAACUUCGUGCCAGCAGCCGCGGUAAUACGAAGGGUGCAAGCGUUAAUCGGAAUUACUGGGCGUAAAGGGUGCGUAGGCGGUUGUUUAAGUCUGUCGUGAAAUCCCCGGGCUCAACCUGGGAAUGGCGAUGGAUACUGGGCAGCUAGAGUGUGUCAGAGGAUGGUGGAAUUUCCGGUGUAGCGGUGAAAUGCGUAGAGAUCGGAAGGAACAUCAGUGGCGAAGGCGGCCAUCUGGGACAACACUGACGCUGAAGCACGAAAGCGUGGGGAGCAAA
rnacentral:rRNA from 1 species